GUAACACACUUCGUUGCCAGGGACUCAAAUCCUGCAGUGCCAGGCGUGUCCCCCUGCUUAAGCCAGUACAUGUCCUGGCCCGUCUGAAGUUUGCCAGAGAGCAUAUGGAUAAUCCAGAAGAGAA